AGAAGACCCCCGGGCCCAAUUCUCCCCAUCAGGGGCUUAAAAGGUUGUUUUGAAAGCCUGCUGAGAUAAAUCACACACAGAAAAUCAAGGUCAAGCCCGGUGGGCCAACCCUGACCUCCUUCAGCGUGACGAUACCUCAACCAAGGAAUGCUCCACUGGAGAACCAAACCCCAAUGUGGGCAGAAAAUGAGUCCAACAUGUCCGCUCAGUGACUCCACUCUGUCCUCUACCACUGCAGGCAUCCUUCUCAGCAAUUCCUCUUUAGAGAUGUGUGAGCCAUGAAUGAGUUGUUUAAAACUCGCAAGUUUUUAGUUGGAACUCAUGUCUACUCAUCUCUGUUAACUCGUUCACAUACUCACCGCUGCUACCGCUACCUAAAUUAUAAAAAAGA